rnacentral:lncRNA from 1 species
AUUUUGGGGCCACCAGACCUUAUUACUAGAUUGGUAGUAUGAAGUAACUAUUAAGAUGUCCAGUUUUUCAGUAGGAGCAGAAAAAGUAAGUAUAAAAUAUUAGCUAUAUUAUUUUAUUCAGUUUACUAGAAUAAGCUUACAAAUGAUCAGUGUCUUUUGGUCAUGAAUGAGUACACAGUAUGGCACACAAUUUUGUACCGUGUAUACUUGUAUAUGUAUUUUUUUUCUUUUUUUCUUCGUGUUUUAUUUUUGUUUUUAUAUAUGUAUUUUAAUAGAUAUGAAUAAAUCAGUGCCCGGGUACCAAAUAAUGAGCACCCUCAAAAUUUGAAUUUCAAGGAACAGUGGCAGAAAAUAUCAUUUGAAACUGAAACUAUCACAGAUCAACAGAAAAAUGACUGAAGUUAGCUAUGUAUAAAAUUCCCAUAAGUUAACCCACACUUAAACAAAUUCAUGGUGUGUCUACUGACAUUCUAUCAGGAAAAAUAAAAUAAAAUAAAUGUAGAUAAUUAAACUUUACAUUUUAGAAAUUAGAACACAUUUAUAUCAAAAGCAAACAGCUGGCUGCUGGUCUGUAUGACAGUCACCAAAAGGAGUUGGGGAGCCUGAAAGUUUUAGGGAUGUUCCUGAUUAUGACAGCCCAACUGGCAGCCAUAUGUCACCAGUGCAUUUUAAGUCUUUAGGCUUGAUGACAGCAACCUAUGACCACUGGGCUCCCUUGCCAGCACCUUCUGAACUUUGUGAUUUUCCGCAUAGUGAGACCCGUAGCCUCAGCACUGGGGCACUUGUGCUCUUCUGGGAGCUUUGCUGCUCCUCUAACUGCAUGACCUCAGCAGAGUUCCUCUGCCUCUCCAGGCCACAGCCUCUAUCUAAAAUGUACUUAAAAAGUACUCACACCAAAGAUCGGUUGUGAGAGUUAAAUGAAACCACUAAUGUAAAAGUGCCUACGACAGAUCCUGACCCAUAGUAGGUGCUCAGGAAAUGUUUUAAUUUUUUAAAAAACAGAAUAAUCUGAUCCUAAUCCUCUGCUCUUCUGGGAAAUUCUGGUUCUCAGAUUGGUUGAUAAGCAUUUCAGUUAAUCUGUCAGCCUGGCUUUUAUGAGUUUGAGUGGAAUGACCCGUCUCUGUGAACAGAUCCAGAUGAUUUCUUCAUCAUGCAAAGCAGAGUCCUCAGUGAGCCUGCGCUCCUGGUGACCCAUCACAUAGUAGAAGCAGAUUGCAGAGAAGACCCUACCAAAAGCCUCAGCUGGCUCGCCCUGCUUCAUGACUGCACGGUGAUGUUAGUCCUUGUCAGAGUUUUAUAGAUUGGGCUGAAAAGUUGUUUGUUUCUUUUUUAAACAAGACAAUUAAACUAAGUAUAUUCGUGUACCAUAGUAAAUGAGAGAAGUAUGCAUCUCACUCACAAUAUAUUUUUUAGAUGCUGUUACCCUGAUUUAUUUUUACUUUGACAGAUACUUCCGUUUAGGGGGUGCUUUCCACAGAUAGAUUCUGUUGUGCAAUAGAAUAUUCGGUACAUUUUGCCUCUAGGUUUCCUCCAGAUCUGUCAGGUGGCCACACCCAAGCCUCUCAGUAUUGCCGUGUUCUCAAUAAGACACUUGAUUUAUUUAUUUAGUAGAUGUUCUUAGUUUCCCUCAGGAGGUUUUUGUUGGCAGAAUUUCUAAUUUUUUAUAGGGCAUCCUUCUUAAUAUAGAGGAAGACCAAUUAUGUAUAUGCAACAGACUCAAAUUAAAAGUGGCAUAAUUGCGAUUAUUCAUUGCUUUUGAUUUCACACUUAAUUAGCCCUCUGAAGUGAACAAGUCCUUAGUGGUUAAGAGUUUGCACUCUGAGAGUUAUCAGACCUGGGUUCAAAUUCCAGCUCUGACACAGAGGCGUUGUGAGACCUUGGUCAAGGUCCCUAACCUUUUCCUAAACCUAUCAUCUGUAAAAUACUGAUAGAAAUGCUUACCUUCCAGAGCUCUUUUGAGUAUUAUGUUACAUCAUGCAAGUGAAGCACUUAACACUCAGCACCUGCUGAGAGCACUUGGUAAAUGCUACCAUUGUCACGGGGGCAGGGGAGGGGCAUGAGGACCGAGCUCUCAAAAAGUGACUUCUCCAGUUUAAUUUAAUAAGCACUUGGGAUUUCACAUUUCCUGCAUAUUUUACGAUAACCUUGAAAGGAACAGACUUAGGCCAAAUUUGAUAACACCGUGUUUUAAAUUUCUAAUAAGAAUACCACCUGAAACCACACUGACAGUCAUUUGUAACUUCUUACAGCCACCGUACUAAAAAAACAAAAAGCUACUGUUUAUUGAUAGGUACAUCUUGAGAGUGACUUCAAAAGUUACAGUAACCUUGGUUAUAUUUUAGGGAAUAUAAGAACUCUGAAAAGAACUUUGUGGGGUCUGGAAAACACUGUAAAUGGAAGCCGCUUCAUUGGAUAUUACUCUAGUGUUGUAAGAGUGGUUUGACUUAGGGCUGUUUUGGUUUCUUAAGUGGAACAUUUUUUGUGUGUGUCUCCCUGUAUUUUAUAUUAAUUCCAGGUCUGAGUCAGUGGCGAGUCCAGUAAUUGAAUUAAUAUGGAAAUCAAACUGUAAGCUCAUCCUUGGAAUUACAUUCAUUAUAUAACAUGGAAAUGGGCUAAAACAGAGAAAAUUACAGUACUGUUUUACUUUCUACUUUAAAUAUGGUAGAGGAUCGGUCUCUUCUAUGAGUGUAUAUGCUGCAAAAAAAUUUUUUAAAAGUAGCCUAUUAAUACACUAUGAUUUUAAAGGGGGAAAACAAUGUAUGUUCUUAUUCUGUGUCACUGUCCAAGCAUCAGUAACACUAAACUGGCUGCCAGAGUGAAAAAGAACCAACUACAUUUGCGUAAUCAUCAUAAAAAUUAUAUUCUGUCUACAUUUUUAAUUGAGCCAGACAUUGCACAGAAUUAGACACAGCCUUUGCUCUCUGGGAGUUUACAGUGUAAGACAGAAGAUACUAAUGUGUGUAGACGUGAAGACCAGUUGAAUUUAACAUUUUAUAAACGUGGUUGGUUCUAUUUUAUGCCUUUCUGGCCUUCCCCAACCCUCAUAACCCAUCAUCAGAUGUCGUUUCAUCCACAGGUAAUUUUCUUCUUAAUUUAAGUAACCUUAUUUCUUAACUAUGAAAAUAAUAUAUGUUAAUUUUAGAAAAAUUGGAAAGUAAAGUAGAAAGAAAAAACAAAAAUCAUGUAUAAUCCCACAACCACAAAAAGAUCGUGUUAUAUUUUAGUGACAUUUUUAAUGUAUCAUCUUAAAUGUAUCUAUAUAUUUUACA